CAGCCACAAAAGUUCAUCCCUAACCUCUACAUAUCCAAAUAGCCAAAAGUACAGAUAUGAUUAUCAACAAAACUAAAGAAAAGAAAAGAAAGAUGGCGUCUAUCUGAAGACUAGAUCAUCGGUCCUGAUCCCCACGCCCGACGGCGGCCUCCUCCCCGAUUCCUUCUAAUGCCGCGUGCCACCACGCGCUGCCGCCCACCACCAUGCGCCACCGCGUCUAGAGAGAGGAGGGGGGGAAAGGCCGAGGGCCACCAUGGCCGGAGACGGAGGAGGCGGGCUGAUGGGGAUCGCAUCCAUCCAAUCCUUCAUGACGUUGCUGUGCAUGGGGUCGGCGUUGGCGGCCAACCAUGCCUCGGUGGCGUCGAGAUCGUACGCCGGCGUCGGCGUGGGGCGUGGAGAACCCCAAGGGGCCGCAGGCCCAUGGAGAAGCCAUGCCAUCGACGGCGAGGUGAGCAGCGAAGCUGGUGGUUCCGGUAUCGGCGCAAUUCCUUGGCGGAUGCGAGACUCCAUGGCGGCUCUCUGGUGUCCGUGGCGAGCACGGGUGGAGCGAAGCCGGUGGUUCCGAUAUCGGCGCAAUUCCUUGGCGGAUGCGAGACUCCAUGGCGGCUUUCUGGUGUCCGUGGCGAGCAUGGGCUCCACCCGUGCGGGUCCGGCGGUGACUAGGAGUCGAGCGGCGUCGACCACGGUAAGUUCGCCAACGGCGAGAUGCUCCAUGGUGUAGGGACUCAAAAGAGCCAGAGAAGAUUUUGGGUAGAUCGUAGAUCUCCAUGUUUCUCACCUUUCUUGUUCUUCUCUGUUCUUGCUUUGAUCUUGCUAUCGCUCUCUAAUGGAAGAGUCUAGCGUGGUUGAUAACAUGUUGUGAAAUGAAUGAAUGAAAAUGAAUCUGUGUGUUUUCCAUUGAA